rnacentral:misc_RNA from 1 species
GUUGGGGUGCACAUGGCAGUCAGUGUUGGGUUGGGGAGUGGCACGGGUAGUCAGUGUUCCCUUCCUCCUGCAGCAGCCAUCGUGCACACCCAUGCAGUGUUACACUCCCACACCUGCGUGUCCCUCACUGUCCUGCUGUGUCCUGUGGCCAGCCUGCCGCGCUGUGUACAGUGUGUCCCUCACGCCGCCGUCUCUUUCUUCCAGGACGACAACGUAGAGGACUGCCCUGUGUGCCUCAACACCUUUGACGACACCCACAGGCGGCCACGCACUCUGCCGUGUGGGCAUACACUUUGCACGCCGUGCAUUAAUGAACUGAAGGAGCAGGGUGCCGUCACGUGCCCCACGUGCAGGGUGAGUCACGCCCUGCCUGAGGCCGGCCAGUUCCCUAUCUCCUAUAUCACAGAGGCCUUUAUCAGGAAGAUGAGAGGUGCAGGACUGGCCUGUGUGGCACCCAAGCCAGGAAAGCAGCUGACAGCUCCGGCAGCAGUGACACAGCCUGCACCAAGGGCCACAGCGGGACUCAGCAAGAGGACACGGUCCCUGCUGCAGGAGCAAGAGGCAAAGGUCCUGGCCGCCAUCCGCUCCUGCCAGGAGGAGCAGAGCCAGCUGGCAGACUACCGGACAACCCUGGGUGGGUGGUGUGGCCGCCAGCAGCAGCUGGAGGACGACCUCCAGACGCUGGUGGACCAGAGCAAGGGUGCCCGGGAGGCGAUAAGCCGCGAGGACUCCCGCGUGGAGGGCAGGCAGGAGAAGGUGCGGCAGAGAGAGAGGAGGCGCUGCACGCCAUGCUGCAGGAGCUGCGCACCCCAUCAACACGACAGGAAGCUUACGAGGUGAUUGAGGAUGCAGACCAUCUGCUGGAGGAGGAGGAGAGGGCGGCAGUGUUUCCUGACGUCCACGUGGUCACCACCGUCGCCAGGGUUGCAGAGUCAUCCCGUUCAGCCCUGCAGGCCGCCACCCUGCAGGCCACACAGACGGCCAUUGAGCCAGCAGGCUCUACUGCUGCUGCUGCUGCUGCUGCUGCAGGUGACUCCAGCCUCUCGGAGUCACCUGCCGCAGCCU